AAGACCGUCACAAAUAAAAUGUAGUGUCUGUUUUUCCAAUGGACAAUAUAGCAAAUACAAGUCACGUAAAACAAACGAAAAGGCCUUUAAAAUGGGUUUAAGUAAUAAAGUACCUAUUGUUAUUUGUAGAUGACAAAAUCACUUCGACGUUUUGUAAUUUUCUAAUCAAUUCGGUUUAUUGUCAGAGGUAUCGACUUUUUGUCGAAUUCACUCCAGAAACAGUAAAUAAUAUAUUAUUUUCAUUUUUUCCCCGCUACUUAUUGAUAUUUCUAGCAGCUCUCUCCAUACCAAAACGAGCACAAACUCGGGAAUUAGAGUUGUUUUGUAGUUGGAUUGAAAUGAUAAAAGUUGCAUUGAAUUUCAAUAUGGAUUCAACCAUGUUAUUGCAUGUAACAACCCUAUAGACUUUUCAAAUUAAGCUAGACGAUGCA